UCGGGCGUGGUGCACGGUGCACGGCGGCAUUCGAUCGAAGUUUGAGAUCGGAUACGUCGCAGUCCGGGGUUCGACUCCCCGCGCCCGAA